rnacentral:rRNA from 1 species
AUUGAACGCUGGCGGCAUGCCUUACACAUGCAAGUCGAACGGUAACAGGCCGAACGGUGCUGACGAGUGGCGAACGGGUGAGUAAUGCAUCGGUACGUGCCCAGUCGUUGGGGAUAACGAAGCGAAAGCUGCGCUAAUACCGCAUAUGAUCAUUGGAUGAAAGCGGGGGACAGUAAGGCCCCGCGCGAUUGGCCAGGCCGAUGUCAGAUUAGGUAGUUGGUGGGGUAAAGGCUCACCAAGCCGACGAUCUGUAGCUGGUCUGAGAGGACGACCAGCCACACUGGGACUGAGACACGGCCCAGACUCCUACGGGAGGCAGCAGUGGGGAAUUUUGGACAAUGGGCGCAAGCCUGAUCCAGCAAUGCCGCGUGCAGGAAGAAGGCCUUCGGGUUGUAAACUGCUUUUGUACGGAACGAAACGGUCCUGGUUAAUACCUGGGGCUAAUGACGGUACCGUAAGAAUAAGCACCGGCUAACUACGUGCCAGCCGCCGCGGUAAUAC